rnacentral:rRNA from 1 species
UACGAAGGGGGCUAGCGUUGCUCGGAAUCACUGGGCGUAAAGCGCACGUAGGCGGCUUGUUAAGUCAGGGGUGAAAUCCUGGAGCUCAACUCCAGAACUGCCUUUGAUACUGGCGAUCUCAAGUCCGGGAGAGGUGAGUGGAACUGCGAGUGUAGAGGUGAAAUUCGUAGAUAUUCGGAGGAACACCAGAAGCGAAGGCGGCCAACUGGCCCGAUACUGACGCUGAGGCGCGAAAGCGUGGGGAGCAAACAGG